UAAGAAUCUCAGGAGGAAAGGAGACUCGGAAACUUCAUUUUUUAAAUGGUUACUGUUAAUGCUAAUCACCUGGAGCACAUGAAGUUGCUUCUUAAUGGACAUGAAACAGGCUCAAGCAUGAGUGUUCUGUUUAAAGCCUACGAAGAGUAACUGAAGUUCUCGAAAGGAGUAGAAGCAUUCUAAAUGGAUACUCUCCAACCAACCAGGUCCUCCAGUGCCCAUGGCUAUAAACUCCUAUUUCUGUGGGAAUCUACCUGCAAACCUCUCAGUGUGGCUCAUCAGACUCUCGACUCUUGACAGUACAGAGCAGAAAGGUUCUGCUGGAUCCAGUACAUUCUCUGACCGUGCUGCAGACACUGAACUGCCACUGCUACAUUCAAGAAAGUAAGAUUCUUCACUCUCCUCCCACCUGCCAAAGCUUGCCCCUCCUCAGGAACCAGCCCGAACCCCAGCUCUGUGGGCCUUUCUGACUCCAGGACACCUGGGCUGGUCUCUCUUCUGAGAACCAGCUUGCCACACAUGCCUUAGAGUUACUCUCUGGGAGCUUAGAUUUGUGUGACUUGUCUCUCCUAUUGCCUUUGGAUGCCCUGGAAGCCUGAAAUAACUUUUUCCUUUUUAUUAGAAAAGUGGGUUUGAAGUCAAGUGGUCCUGAUACAUGACUACAAGCGAUGUGACUUUGGUCAAGCCACCUUUUCUAAGCAUGUCUGCAUCUGUAAAUGGUUGGAAGUUUAGCAUAGG